GUCUUUUUCGUUUUGGAUGCACAAAAUUGCUAUCAACAUAUUGGAGAAUAACCACUCCAUCCUUCACAAUAUUCUGGCACUAGGUCUAUGAGGAGGUUGUUCUUUUGAGCAGAGAUUAUCAUUUUUUUAAAAAAAAUAUCUAUAUUAAAUAAAAAGGGAAAGUGGAUCUUAUUAUCUUACCCCUUUUCUAAAUUUUGAAGUAGG
rnacentral:lncRNA from 1 species